UACGUAGGGAGCAAGCGUUGUCCGGAAUCAUUGGGCGUAAAGCGCGCGUAGGUGGCCUCAUAAGUCCGCUGUGAAAGUCAAAGGCUCAACCUUUGAAAGCCGGUGGAUACUGUGAGGCUAGAGUACGGAAGAGGCGAGUGGAAUUCCUGGUGUAGCGGUGGAAUGCGCAGAUAUCAGGAGGAACACCAACAGCGAAGGCAGCUCGCUGGGACGUUACUGACACUGAGGCGCGAAAGCGUGGGGAGCGAACAGG
rnacentral:rRNA from 1 species